rnacentral:rRNA from 1 species
UAGGGAAUCUUCCACAAUGGACGCAAGUCUGAUGGAGCAACGCCGCGUGAGUGAAGACGGUUUUCGGAUCGUAAAGCUCUGUUGUUGGUGAAGAAGGAUAGAGGCAGUAACUGGUCUUUAUUUGACGGUAAUCAACCAGAAAGUCACGGCUAACUACGUGCCAGCAGCCGCGGUAAUACGUAGGUGGCAAGCGUUGUCCGGAUUUAUUGGGCGUAAAGCGAGCGCAGGCGGAAUGAUAAGUCUGAUGUGAAAGCCCACGGCUCAACCGUGGAACUGCAUCGGAAACUGUCAUUCUUGAGUGCAGAAGAGGAGAGUGGAAUUCCAUGUGUAGCGGUGGAAUGCGUAGAUAUAUGGAAGAACACCAGUGGCGAAGGCGGCUCUCUGGUCUGCAACUGACGCUGAGGCUCGAAAGCAUGGGUAGCGAACAGG